rnacentral:rRNA from 1 species
GACAGAGGGUGCAAGCGUUGUUCGGAAUCACUGGGCGUAAAGCGCGUGUAGGUGGCAGUGUGUGUCUGACGUGAAAUUCCUUGGCUUAACCAAGGGAGUGCAUCGGAAACUACAUUGCUCGAGUGCGAGAGGGGAUGGCGGAAUUCCCAGAGUAGAGGUGAAAUUCGUAGAUACUGGGAGGAACACCUGAGGCGAAGGCGGCCAUCUGGUUCGCAACUGACACUGAGACGCGAAAGCGUGGGGAGCAAACAGG